rnacentral:rRNA from 1 species
GUGGGGAAUAUUGGACAAUGGGGGGAACCCUGAUCCAGCCAUGCCGCGUGUGUGAAGAAGGCCUUUUGGUUGUAAAGCACUUUAAGCGAGGAGGAGGCUACCGAGAUUAAUACUCUUGGAUAGUGGACGUUACUCGCAGAAUAAGCACCGGCUAACUCUGUGCCAGCAGCCGCGGUAAUACAGAGGGUGCAAGCGUUAAUCGGAUUUACUGGGCGUAAAGCGCGCGUAGGUGGCCAAUUAAGUCAAAUGUGAAAUCACCGAGCUUAACUUGGGAAUUGCAUUCGAUACUGGUUGGCUAGAGUAUGGGAGAGGAUGGUAGAAUUCCAGGUGUAGCGGUGAAAUGCGUAGAGAUCUGGAGGAAUACCGAUGGCGAAGGCAGCCAUCUGGCCUAAUACUGACACUGAGGUGCGAAAGCAUGGGGAGCAAACAGGAUUAGAAACCCGGGUAGUCC